rnacentral:rRNA from 1 species
AGCAGUAGCCGCGGUAAUACGAAGGGGGCUAGCGUUGCUCGGAAUCACUGGGCGUAAGGGGUGCGUAGGCGGGUCUUUAAGUCAGGGGUGAAAUCCUGGAGCUCAACUCCAGAACUGCCUUUGAUACUGAAGAUCUUGAGUUCGGGAGAGGUGAGUGGAACUGCGAGCGUAGAGGUGAAAUUCGUAGAUAUUCGCAAGAACACCAGUGGCGAAGGCGGCUCACUGGCCCGAUACUGACGCUGAGGCACGAAAGCGUGGGGAGCAAACAGGAUUAGAGACCCCAGUAGUCCCUGUCUCUUAUAC